rnacentral:rRNA from 1 species
UACGAAGGGGGCUAGCGUUGUUCGGAAUUACUGGGCGUAAAGGGCGCGUAGGCGGUACUGCAAGUCGGGCGUGAAAGCCCCGGGCUCAACCUGGGAACCGCGCUUGAGACUGGAGAACUAGAGUUCGGGAGAGGAUGGUGGAAUUCCCAGUGUAGAGGUGAAAUUCGUAGAUAUUGGGAAGAACACCGAUGGCGAAGGCAGCCAUCUGGACCGACACUGACGCUGAGGCGCGAAAGCGUGGGGAGCAAACAGG